rnacentral:rRNA from 1 species
GACGAACGCUGGCGGCGUGCCUAAUACAUGCAAGUAGAACGCACAGUUUAUACCGUAGCUUGCUACACCAUAAACUGUGAGUUGCGAACGGGUGAGUAACGCGUAGGUAACCUGCCUGGUAGCGGGGGAUAACUAUUGGAAACGAUAGCUAAUACCGCAUAAUAUUAAUUAUUGCAUGAUAAUUGAUUGAAAGAUGCAAUUGCAUCACUACCAGAUGGACCUGCGUUGUAUUAGCUAGUAGGUGAGGUAACGGCUCACCUAGGCGACGAUACAUAGCCGACCUGCGAGGGUGAUCGGCCACACUGGGACUGAGACACGGCCCAGACGCCUACGGGAGGCAGCAGUAGGGAAUCUUCGGCAAUGGACGAAAGUCUGACCGAGCAACGCCGCGUGAGUGAAGAAGGUUUUCGGAUCGUAAAGCUCUGUUGUAAGAGAAGAACGGGUGUGAGAGUGGAAAGUUCACACUGUGACGGUAUCUUACCAGAAAGGGACGGCUAACUACGUG